UACAGAGGUCUCAAGCGUUGUUCGGAUUCAUUGGGCGUAAAGGGUGCGUAGGUGGCGCGGUAAGUCGGGUGUGAAAUUUCGGAGCUCAACUCCAGAACUGCCUUUGAUACUGGCGAUCUUGAGUUCGGGAGAGGUGAGUGGAACUGCGAGUGUAGAGGUGAAAUUCGUAGAUAUUCGCAAGAACACCAGUGGCGAAGGCGGCUCACUGGCCCGAUACUGACGCUGAGGUGCGAAAGCGUGGGGAGCGAACAGG
rnacentral:rRNA from 1 species